GUUUUUAACUGAGACAGGGGAGAUUUAGGUUAGAUAUUAGGAUAAUGUUUUUUACUCAGAGGGUGGUGACGCACUGGAACAGGUUGCCCACAGAGGUUGUGGAUGCCCCAUCCCUGGAGGCAUUCAAGGCCAGGCUGGAUGUGGCUCUGGGCAGCCUGGUCUAGUGGCUGGCAACCCUGCACAUAGCAGAGGGGUUGAAUCUAGAUGAUCUUUGAUGUCCUUUUCAACCCAGGCCAUUUUAUGAUUCUAUGAUUCUGUGAUUCUAUGAUGAAAUAUUUUAUAAAUAAUAUCAGUACAGUGGACAAUGUUCUGCUUUCACUCUGAUUUAAAGUUCAUAGCAGUAGUGUAUUGUUGCCAUAAAUCAACAGAAUGGAACAAAUGUCAUAAUUUUCCUUAUACAGGUGACUUCUCUUCAUCUUUUACUAAUAUCAUUGAGGUAUCUUAACUGAAAGAAUAGAAAAGUAAUAUUUUCAGAGCCAGGUUUUAAUUCAGCAGCUCCCUCAAAGGAAUGCAAUUUCAAGUCUCAUCAACACUCGCACUUCUAAGAAUGGAGGCAAGAAAUCUGUCGAAAACUGAAGACAGACAGAUACUGUUAGCAGAACAUAUCUUUUAGGAAAUUUGAGUUGGCUGGUAAAGGGAAAACGUGAAUCAUCUCAGUCAUCAGCCCCCUGUUAAAACUGAGACAAGACUCUUAAAUGGGGCUCAUUAAAGUACAAAUAACAAUUUUCAUGGGAGUUAUAUUUUAUCGUGAUGUACAACAGUUAACUGAUACACUGAAACCUGUAAGAAAUAUGUCAAAUACAGCACUAAUGUUGUUUUUUUUUUUUUUUCCUUAAAUCUUGUAAUGUGCAAAACAUUUAUUCCUUCAAGUACACUGUAUUUAUGGGCUUUACUGUUACCAAGAUAUUUGCUAUUAACCAGUUGAAAUUCCAACUCUGCUUGCUUCAAUCUGAUAGAAACAUACUUGUAAAUAGUCAUUCUUGAUUCAAAGGAAAUGCAGAUGAGAGAUUUUGAAAGGAGGGUUUGGCCAAUAGGCCUAAAAGGAUGAGUUUUACUAUUUCUUUUUUUUUUUUAAAUAGAACUAGCAGUUAGGGAUAAUAUUUUUCAAAGUUUGCUGGUGGAUAUAUCUCAGGCUCUGUUUUGUCAGCUUGUAUUAAAUAUACCCUUUCUCUUUUGAAUAUCCUUUAUAUGAAAAAGGUCUAAUAUUUUAGUCUGGUCUGCGUCACUUUUAAGAGAGAGAGGGGUUUGCUAUAUAUAACUAUCCAGCAUUUCUCUUUCCCCUGUAAUUAAUACAGUUAGAGACCCUUAACUUAUUCUGUAACGUACUGACAUGGGCUAACACAUAAGCCUCUACAGUUCAGAGUAGCCAAUUAUACCUGCUGACUGUCAGCUGGUAGCCAUGGUAUCUGCCAGCUUUGCUGGUUGUUCUCACAGCAAUCUCAGAGCUUAAAUAAGCUCAGAUACUGCCUCAGCUAGUUCAAAAUUCAUACAGUACUGACUUUUGCAGGGGGAUCACACUACCACUCAUUAGGGACUGAAGAACAAGGCUGUGGAGCCCAGAGGGCUUUGUGCUAUGCCAAGUAGCUUUCACAGAAACAGGAGGGAUGCAUCUUUCUUAAGCUCACACAGAUAACUCAGGUAAAAUUCACAAAAUUCCAGAGCUCCUAUUUAUUCAGUUACUGUUCAUCUAAAUCUGGUACUAAGUUGUGUCUGAUUAUCCUGUGAAAACUGUCUGCCAACACUUUAUGCUGAAGUUAAGAUACCACUUCUGCCUUUUUGCUAUGGGUCCCAUUUCUUCUGAGAUUUUGGAUUUAUAAUAUUAGUCACUGGAUUUACACAAGUAAGCAUAAUUGUCCAAGCAUUCUCUGACAUGUGAAUGUUAUUUUUUAAUGUGUUUGUAAUUAAUAAAUAUAUAUCAUAGAAUCAUAGAAUUUUUUGAGUUGGAAGGGACCUUUAAAUAUCAUCUAGUCCAACUCCCCUGGAAUGAGCAGGGACAUUUGCAGCUAGAUCAGGUUACUCACAUCUCAGUCCGGCCUGACUUUGAAUGUCUCCAGAGAUGGGGCAUCCGCCACUUCCCUAGGCAACCUGUUCUAGUGCUUCACAGCCCUUAAGUCACCUUGAAGAGGAAGGUACCUCCAUCCUCAUUCUCAAAUAAAUUAUUAGAAUUAUUUAUUUUCUUAAAAAUUGCCACCUCUCUAAUCAGAUGUCUCUAUUAGAGUUUUAGUUUAUAUUCAGAUAGGACAAGAAAUUUUUUUCCUGUUUUUUCCUGUUUUUUACUUUUUUUUUAACUACAUAUUUUAGUGCUUUAUAUAUUGGCAUUCUGUUAGUAUAUCUAUGUAAUGUACAAUGCAUUUUCUUUAUUACAACACAUAUUAAUUGAACUUUCUAUAUGCCUGUUGGGUUUGUGGAUAGCUUGCAUUGCAUCUAAUCAUGCCUGUCACAGUAAUGUUACACGGAUGUCCAGUGUUUCCAUAUUCAAAGUGUGAAAAUAAAACUUAUAUGUAAUUUUGUGUAAUCAGCUCUUUCUCCAAAUCAAAGCUGGUGAAGCAGGCAAUUCUUGUUUACCACAAACUAUCACUCAUUUUCUUUCUAUUUCAUCCUUUGAUUUUGCAGUCCUCACAAUACUUUCAGAAAGAAUACUACAUAUAUUCUAUGAUGAGAAAUAUCUCACCUUAGAGACAGUUUAGUUCCUCCCCACCAGAACCACAAUAAAGCACUACUAAGUCUUGUUUCUCUAUGGUACUAAGUACAUGCUAACACCAAGGCCAGUACCAUAACCCAC
ensembl:lncRNA